AUCCCAUGAUGAGGACAGGCAAGUAUGUACUCUUGGAGUCUUUCCCAAGCUUCCUGGAUGGAUUCCAUCCCUGACUGCUAGAAACUCGAUAUUCUACCUCGCAAGGC